rnacentral:misc_RNA from 1 species
UUAAGUUCAGCGGGUGUCCCUACCUGAUCCGAGGUCAACCUUUGAUAGAAAUUUUAACGGCACGGGCCACCCCUCUCGCCAGCGAAUUUGAUGCCACAACGCUGAGAUACGGGUCGUCCAGCCGGUGAAAUUAAGGCGCGGGAGAGCCCCGCCGCCCAAUACCAAGCCGGGCUUGAGUGGUGUAAUGACGCCCGAACAGG